AUACGUAGGUGGCGAGCGUUGUCCGGAAUUACUGGGUGUAAAGGGCGUGUAGGCGGGGCGUCAAGUCAGGUGUGUAGAUCCGAGGCUUAACUUCGGGCGUGCAUCUGAAACUGAUGUUCUUGAGUGUCGGAGAGGAAAGUGGAAUUCCCAGUGUAGCGGUGAAAUGCGUAGAGAUUGGGAGGAACACCAGUGGCGAAGGCGGCUUUCUGGACGAUAACUGACGCUGAGGCGCGAAAGCGUGGGUAGCAAACAGGAUUAGAUACCCUGGUAGUCCACGCUGUAAACGAUGGAUACUAGGUGUAGGAGGUAUCGACCCCUUCUGUGCCGGAGUUAACACAAUAAGUAUCCCACCUGGGGAGUACGGCCGCAAGGUUGAA
rnacentral:rRNA from 1 species